UGUGGAAUAUUGCACAAUGGGCGAAAGCUUGAUGCAGCGACGCCGCGUGGAGGAUGAAGGUCUUCGGAUUGUAAACUCCUGUUAAGUGGGAAGAAAGACUCAUACCUAAUACGUAUGGGGGAUGACGGUACCACUAGAGAAAGCACCGGCAAACUUCGUGCCAGCAGCCGCGGUAAUACGAAGGGUGCUAGCGUUAUUCGGAAUGACUGGGUGUAAAGAGCUUGAAGGCGGUUUGGUAAGUCAGCUGUUAAAUUACCCAGCUUAACUGGGUGUCUGCGGUUGAAACUGCCAGGCUAGAGUACAGGAGAGAAGAGUGGAAUUCUCGGAGUAGCGGUAAAAUGCGUAGAUCUCGAGAGGAACACCGGUUGCGAAGGCGGCUCUUUGGCCUGAUACUGACGCUAUAGAGCGAAAGCGUGGGGAGCAAACAGGAUUAGAUACCCUGGUAGUCCACGCUGUAAACGAUGAUCACUGGAUGUGGGUUUGGC
rnacentral:rRNA from 1 species